GAGUCCUUAACUGACGCUAAAGCUCGAAAGUGCGGGUAUCGAACAGGAUUAGAUACCCUGGUAGUCCGCACGGUAAACGAUGGAUGCCCGCUGUUGGCGAUAUAUUGUCAGCGGCCAAGCGAAAGCGUUAAGCAUCCCACCUGGGGAGUACGCCGGCAACGGUGAAACUCAAAGGAAUUGACGGGGGCCCGCACAAGCGGAGGAACAUGUGGUUUAAUUCGAUGAUACGCGAGGAACCUUACCCGGGCUUGAACUGCCAGCGAACGAUUCAGAGAUGAUGAGGCCCUUCGGGGCGCUGGUGGAGGUGCUGCAUGGUUGUCGUCAGCUCGUGCCGUGAGGUGUCGGCUUAAGUGCCAUAACGAGCGCAACCCCUUUCUCCAGUUGCCAUCAGGUAGAGCUGGGCACUCUGGAGACACUGCCACCGUAAGGUGUGAGGAAGGUGGGGAUGGCGUCAAAUCAGCACGGCCCGUACGUCCGGGGCUACACACGUGUUACAAUGGGUGGUACAGAGAGUCGGUCGCUGGCAAUAGCGAUCCAAUCCUAAAAGCCAUCCUCAGUUCGGAUUGGGGUCUGCAACCCGACCCCAUGAAGCUGGAUUCGC
rnacentral:rRNA from 1 species